rnacentral:rRNA from 1 species
UGGUCCUGACCUUAUAAUCAAUUAACACUUAACUUACACAUGCAAGUCUCAGCACCCCUGUGAGAACGCCCUAAAAUUCCCACUGGAACAAGGAGCCGGUAUCAGGCACACUUUUAUAGCCCAAAACACCUAGCUAUGCCACAUCCUCAAGGAACCUCAGCAGUGAUUAAUAUUGAAUAUAUGCGACAGCUAGAUUCAGUUAAAGUGAUUAGAGUCGGCAAAAUUGGUGCCAGCCGCCGCGGUUAUACCAAUCAACUCAAAUUGAUUUAUUCGGCGUAAAGCGUGAUUAAAGUUAUUCAAAAUUAAAAUUAAACCUACAUUAAGCUGUAACACGCUUGUGAUUGGGAAACUCAAAAACUAAAGUUAUUUUAACUAUCUCAACUUGAAUUCACGACAGUUAAGAAACAAACUGGGAUUAGAUACCCCACUAUGCUUAACCGUAAACUUUCACUUACAUUUUCAACGCCAGAGAACUACGAGCAAAGCUUAAAACUCAAAGGACUUGACGGUACCCCACAUCCACCUAGAGGAGCCUGUCCUAUAAUCGAUAACCCCCGCUUAACCUCACCAUUUUUAGCUUGUCAGUCUGUAUACCUCCGUCGUCAGCUUACCACGUGAGCGAUCCUCAGUAAGCUUAAUGCCCACACGCCAAUACGUCAGGUCAAGGUGCAGCAAACAAAAUGUGAAAGAGAUGGGCUACACUUUCUAUUUUAGAAGAUACGAAAAACUAUUUAUGAAACCUAGUUAGAAGGUGGAUUUAGCAGUAAAAAGAAACCAGAAAGUUCUUUUUAACUGGGCACUGGGGUGUGUACACACCGCCCGUCACCCUCUUCAAAGCCACUUAACAGUAUUUAACUACUCAAUGCAUUCAAGAAGAGGUAAGUCGUAACAUGGUAAGUAUACCGGAAGGUGUGCUUGGAAA